GGAGGAAAAGAAACCAACAGGGAUUGCCUCAGUAACGGCGAGUGAAGCGGCAAGAGCUCAACUUUGGAAUCGCUGCGGCGAGUUGUAGUCUGGAGGUGGCCGGUCCCGGCGCCAGCGCGCAGCCAAGUCCUUUGGAACAAGGCGCCUGAGAGGGUGACAGCCCCGUGGCAGUUUGUGCUGGUGCCGCCUCGGCCCACCGACGAGUCGAGUUGUUUGGGAAUGCAGCUCUAAGUGGGUGGUAAAUUCCAUCUAAAGCUAAAUACCGGCGAGAGACCGAUAGCGAACAAGUACAGUAAUGGAAAGAUGAAAAGCACUUUGAAAAGAGAGUGAAACAGUACGUGAAAUUGUUGAAAGGGAAGGGCUUGCACCCAGACACGGCCUUCUGGCCGGGCCAGCAUCGGGUGGGAGGGAGCGACAACGAGCAGUCGAUGUAGUACAGCCCUCUGGGCUGUGCAUUAUACGUCUUGCUUUCUGGCUCCUCUCCCGCCCGAGGACCGCAGCAAUAAGGAUGCUGGCGCAAUGGUUGCAAGCCACCCGU
rnacentral:rRNA from 1 species